GACGAACGCUGGCGGCGUGCUUAACACAUGCAAGUCGAACGGAAAGGCCCUGCUUUUGUGGGGUGCUCGAGUGGCGAACGGGUGUGGAUAACGUGAGUAACCUGCGCUUGUCUUUGGGAGAACUUCAGGAAACUGGGACGAAUAUAGGAUAUGAGCUCCUGCUGCAUGGGGGUGGUGGGUAAAUUUCGCCGGUUGGGGAUGGACUCGCGGCUCAUCAGCGUGUUGGUGGGGUAGUGGCUUACAAGGGCUUUGACGGGUAGCCGGCCUGGGAGGGUGACCGGCCCCAUUGGGACUCAGAUGCGGCCCAGACUCCUUCGGGGGGCAGCAGUGGGAAAUUUUGCACACUGGGCGGAGGCCUGAUGCAGCAUCGCCGCGUGCGGGAUGACGGCCUUCGGGUUGUAACCCGCUUUCGCCUGUGACGAAGAGUGAGUGACGGUAAUGGGUAAAGAAGCACCGGCUAACUACGUG
rnacentral:rRNA from 1 species